rnacentral:rRNA from 1 species
UACAGAGGGUGCGAGCGUUAAUCGGAAUUACUGGGCGUAAAGGGUGCGUAGGCGGUCGAAUAAGUUAGGUGUGAAAGUCCUGGGCUUAACCUGGGGAUUGCGCCUAAUACUGUAUGACUUGAGUACUGUAGAGGAAGGUGGAAUUUCCGGUGUAGCGGUGAAAUGCGUAGAUAUCGGAAGGAACACCAGUGGCGAAGGCGACCUUCUGGACAGAUACUGACGCUGAGGCACGAAAGCAUGGGGAGCAAACAGG